GUUGAUCCUGGAUCAAAUUGAACGCUGGCGGCAGGCCUAACACAUGCAAGUCGAACGGUAACAGGAAACAGCUUGCUGUUUCGCUGACGAGUGGCGGACGGGUGAGUAAUGUCUGGGAAACUGCCUGAUGGAGGGGGAUAACUACUGGAAACGGUAGCUAAUACCGCAUAACGUCGCAAGACCAAAGAGGGGGACCUUCGGGCCUCUUGCCAUCGGAUGUGCCCAGAUGGGAUUAGCUAGUAGGUGGGGUAACGGCUCACCUAGGCGACGAUCCCUAGCUGGUCUGAGAGGAUGACCAGCCACACUGGAACUGAGACACGGUCCAGACUCCUACGGGAGGCAGUAGUGGGGAAUAUUGCACAAUGGGCGCAAGCCUGAUGCAGCCAUGCCGCGUGUAUGAAGAAGGCCUUCGGGUUGUAAAGUACUUUCAGCGGGGAGGAAGGGAGUAAAGUUAAUACCUUUGCUCAUUGACGUUACCCGCAGAAGAAGCACCGGCUAACUCCGUGCCAGCAGCCGCGGUAAUACGGAGGGUGCAAGCGUUAAUCGGAAUUACUGGGCGUAAAGCGCACGCAGGCGGUUUGUUAAGUCAGAUGUGAAAUC
rnacentral:rRNA from 1 species